UUGAGAAUCUUCACUCAUGCUGAAUUGAGAUGCUGUGAUAGCAGUGUCCUUGGCUCUUUGAGAGGGACUGUGUCUUGCUGGGUUGCCUCAGGCAUGCUUUCCACUACAAUUUUCUUCCAGAGGGAUGCUUUGGGGUAGAAAACUGCUUUGUAUUCUGUUAGCUUGACCCAUUUGUGUGCACAGCAGUAAUCAUCUCUCUUUAGAUUUAAA